rnacentral:rRNA from 1 species
UACGUAGGGUCCGAGCGUUGUCCGGAAUUAUUGGGCGUAAAGGGCUCGUAGGCGGUUUGUCGCGUCGGGAGUGAAAACACGGGGCUUAACCCCGUGCCUGCUUCCGAUACGGGCAGACUAGAGGUAUGCAGGGGAGAACGGAAUUCCUGGUGUAGCGGUGAAAUGCGCAGAUAUCAGGAGGAACACCGGUGGCGAAGGCGGUUCUCUGGGCAUUACCUGACGCUGAGGAGCGAAAGUGUGGGGGGCGAACAGG